GCCCGUACCGUAAACCGACACAGGUGGGUGGGAUGAGUAUUCUAAGGCGCGUGGAAGAACUCUCUUUAAGGAACUCUGCAAAAUAGCACCGUAUCUUCGGUAUAAGGUGUGCCUAGCUUCGUUAAGAAUUUACUUCGUAAGCGAAGAAGGUUACAACAAAGAGUCCCUCCCGACUGUUUACCAUAAACACAGCACUCUGCUAACUCGUAAGAGGAUGUAUAGGGUGUGACGCCUGCCCGGUGCUCGAAGGUUAAUUGAUGAUGUUAGCUUAUGCAAAGCAUCUGAUCGAAGCCCGAGUAAACGGCGGCCGUAACUAUAACGGUCCUAAGGUAGCGAAAUUCCUUGUCGGUUAAAUACCGACCUGCAUGAAUGGCGUAACGAGAUGGGAGCUGUCUCAAAGAGGGAUCCAGUGAAAUUGUAGUGGAGGUGAAAAUUCCUCCUACCCGCGGCAAGACGGAGAGACCCCGUGGACCUUUACUAUAGCUUGACACUGCUACUUGGAUAAAGAUGCGCAGGAUAGGUGGGAGGCUUUGAGUCGUAGAUCUCGGUUUACGAUGAGCCAUUGUUGAGAUACCACUCUUCUUUAUUCGGGUAGCUAACUAGCCUAAGUUAUCCUUAGGUAGGACAAUGUCUGGUGGGUAGUUUGACUGGGGCGGUCGCCUCCCAAAAUGUAACGGAGGCUUACAAAGGUUGGCUCAAAGCGGUUGGAAAUCGCUUGUAGAGUAUAAAGGCAAAAGCCAGCUUAACUGCGAGACAUACACGUCGAGCAGAGACGAAAGUCGGUCUUAGUGAUCCGGUGGUUCUGUGUGGAAGGGCCAUCGCUCAAAGGAUAAAAGGUACCCCGGGGAUAACAGGCUGAUCUCCCCCAAGAGCUCACAUCGACGGGGAGGUUUGGCACCUCGAUGUCGGCUCAUCGCAUCCUGGGGCUGUAGUCGGUCCCAAGGGUUGGGCUGUUCGCCCAUUAAAGCGGUACGCGAGCUGGGUUCAGAACGUCGUGAGACAGUUCGGUCCCUAUCUGCCGUGGGCGUAAGAAGAUUGAGGAGAGUUGACCCUAGUACGAGAGGACCGGGUUGAACCGACCACUGGUGUACCGGUUGUUCUGCCAAGAGCACCGCCGGGUAGCUAAGUCGGGAUGCGAUAAGAGCUGAAAGCAUCUAAGCUCGAAGCCGACUCCAAGAUGAAUCUUCUUUUAAGAGCUCUAGUAGACUACUAGUUUGAUAGGCCGGAUGUGUAAUGGAUGAAAGUCCUUUAGCUGACCGGUACUAAUAGCUCGUUUGCUUAUCUUU
rnacentral:rRNA from 1 species